AAACCAACAGGGAUUGCCUCAGUAACGGCGAGUGAAGCGGCAAAAGCUCAAAUUUGAAAUCUAGCACCUUCGGUGUUCGAGUUGUAAUUUGAAGAUGGUAACCUUGGGUUUGGCUCUUGUCUAUGUUCCUUGGAACAGGACGUCAUAGAGGGUGAGAAUCCCGUCUGAUGAGAUGCCCAUUCCUUUGUAAGGUACUAUCGAAGAGUCGAGUUGUUUGGGAAUGCAGCUCUAAGUGGGUGGUAAAUUCCAUCUAAAGCUAAAUAUUGGCGAGAGACCGAUAGCGAACAAGUACAGUGAUGGAAAGAUGAAAAGAACUUUGAAAAGAGAGUGAAAAAGUACGUGAAAUUGUUGAAAGGGAAGGGCAUUAGAUCAGACUUGGUGUUUUACGAUUAUCUUCUCUUCUUGAGUUGUGCACUCGUAUUUCACUGGGCCAGCAUCGAUUCGGAUGGUAAGAUAAUAGCAGUUAAAUGUGGCUCUUCGGAGUGUUAUAGUUUCUGUUGAUAUUGCCUGUCUGGAUCGAGGGCUGCGUCUUUUGACUAGGAUGCUGGCGUAAUGAUCUAAUGCC
rnacentral:rRNA from 1 species